AUGAAUCACUGCAGUAAGUACCUGGGAGCCUUGACAGAGCACGGGCAGCCCCUGAGGCUGCAGCAGGGCUUUGGAAGGAGGAAACACAAGGGAUGGUCUAGGCAUACCUGUGUGUUAAGACAGGCAGCAUUUCACCUUCUGAGGCUGAGGACUUCUCAAAGACCCCCGUGGCUCCAGACAGGAGUGGAUGACACCUCCCAGUCAAUUCUGAGACGUUCGCUGGAUAUUUGUCCAACAUAGCUAUUGUGGAAGGAGUGCCAUGCCAUGAGAAGGAGCGUUGUCCCUGGUGGGGGUGAAUGCUGCCAUCUCAGUGGGCUUGCCCUAAGAUCAAAGAUAUUACAGGCCUCAUAGGCAGCCUCCUUCAUCCUGAAAUCUCCAGCUGAGCCACACAAAUUGUAUUGUGUUAAAUUCUGGGAGCUGUCUACUAAGAUUCCUUUUGUCAGCCAGUUCAGAUUUUUUUUCACUGCUUAUCUCUUUCUCUGGAUUAUCUUUUUUUUUUUUUUCCUAUCAUGUUUCUCUUUAUGCAGCACCUACUUUUUUCCUAUACAAACUUCCUUCUUGGGGGGCAGGGAAGGGGCAUGACACGAAUCUGUUGGAUUCAAUCCCGUUUCCUACUGAUAACAGCAUUUUAAUCUUCAUCAUACUGAAAGACGCCUUCCAAGAUAUGUCAGAAGAGGAGAACUAGACAGUGACACCAGUAUUCCUUCUGGCAAAGUAAAAAAUGAAAUGGCAUAGCCUGAAUGCUUAUGCCAUGGAUGAUUAAAACGAGCAUGCACCGUUUUAAUACUAGAAGGCUCUCCCUGGAUGACAAGGCAAUAAUAUCAGUGCAAUUCUGUGAUGUAUGUAUUUGUUCUCUUCACAAACUACUGUGGUAUAAGGGCAUUGGUGCUUUUUGCUCUUGUUGACUUGUUCCCUAUUCUGGGAUUAAUGACAUUGAUGAUUCCCUUGAACUGAUAUUUACACAGUACGUUCCUAUCGAUAAACUAGUUCUUGGGCCACAAGUGGGAGUAGAUCAGCCUUUGGUUGAUAAAUUCAGAAAUUGUCAUAUAUGUAUUUGUCUGCCCGUGCUCCUGCUUGGCAGGUACAUAGUUAUUCAAGCCUGCAAGCCUCCUCGAUUUUAAAUGAUAUUUUUUGGUGAUCGCAUGUCAAUUUCCUGAGCAGUAUUUUUUUAGCAGAAUUUCCUAAAAUAGUAAAAUUUUCCAUCAGAAAAAAGUAACCACGUUCACUUCUGACUGGGUUGACUAAGGAAAAAAAUAGUGCUGUUGGCAAUCUUUUUGUUUGUAGAUACUUCUAGUGAGAGAUUAUAAUAAUCUGAUGCUUAUGAUGCACCAAAGUAACUGAGGGCUUCAAAUAAAUAUUAAUUCUUUCACCUCUUCUUUGAGGUG
rnacentral:lncRNA from 1 species